CCUACGGGUGGCAGCAGUAGGGAAUCUUUCACAAUGGGCGAAAGCCUGAUGGAGCAACGCCGCGUGCAGGAUGAAGGCCUUCGGGUUGUAAACUGCUUUUAUAAGCGAGAAAUAUGAUGGUAACUUAUGAAUAAGGAUCGGCUAACUACGUGCCAGCAGCCGCGGUAAUACGUAGGAGGCAAGCGUUAUCCGGAAUGACUGGGCGUAAAGGGUGCGUAGGUGGUUUGACAAGUUGGUAGCGUAACUCCGGGGCUUAACCUUGGCACUACUACCAAAACUGUCGGACUUGAGUGCAGGAGGGGCAAAUGGAAUUCCUAGUGUAGCGGUGGAAUGCGUAGAUAUUAGGAGGAACACCAGUGGCGAAGGCGAUUUGCUGGACUGUAACUGACACUGAGGCACGAAAGCGUGGGGAGCAAACAGGAUUAGAUACCCUAGUAGUC
rnacentral:rRNA from 1 species